ACAAGCGGUGGAUUAUGUUGUUUAAUUCGACGCAACGCGAAGAACCUUACCAGGCCUUGACAUACUCGGCAAAGCUCUAGAGAUAGAGUGGAGGUUAUCCGGGAUACAGGUGGUGCAUGGUUGUCGUCAGCUCGUGUCGUGAGAUGUUGGGUUAAGUCCCGCAACGAGCGCAACCCUUGUCUUUAGUUACCAUCAUUCAGUUGGGGACUCUAGAGAGACUGCCGGUGAUAAACCGGAGGAAGUGGGGAUGACGUCAAAUCAUCAUGCCCCUUAUGGCCUGGGCUACAAACGUAAUACAAUGGCGUAUACAAAGGGAUGCGAAAGGGCGACCUGGAGCAAAACUCACAAAGUACGUCUCAGUUCAGAUUGGAGUCUGCAACUCGACUCCAUGAAGGCGGAAUCGCUAGUAAUCGCGGAUCAGCAUGCCGCGGUGAAUACGUUCUCGGGGUUU
rnacentral:rRNA from 1 species